rnacentral:rRNA from 1 species
UACCAGCACCCCGAGUGGUCGGGACGUUUAUUGGGCCUAAAGCAUCCGUAGCCGGUUCUACAAGUCUUCCGUUAAAUCCGCCUGCUCAACAGUUGGGCUGCGGAGGAUACUAUAGAGCUAGGAGGCGGGAGAGGCAAGCGGUACUUAGUGGGUAGGGGUAAAAUCCGUUGAUCCAUUGAAGACCACCAGUGGCGAAGGCGGCUUGCCAGAACGCACUCGACGGUGAGGGAUGAAAGCUGGGGGAGCAAACCGG